GGGACGUCAUGCGCAUGACGUCCC
rnacentral:misc_RNA from 1 species